rnacentral:lncRNA from 1 species
AGCACGCGGAGAGACUCCCGUCGGGCGCGGUCCGCGCUCCGCCUGGCGCUCUGUGUGCGCUAAGUGUCCGAGCAGCCCCGCUGCCCCACGCCGGACUUCGCGAGCGACCUUAACGGUGGCGCAACGCAGCCUUCGGCCACCAGAGGCAACCGGCGUCAGCGGCUAGUCAAAAACUGGCGCUUUUUUCCUGCUUUCCGUGUAGAGACUAUCAACUCCAUCUGUCACAAAAUCAAGGCUAAAUCUCCCCAGAGGCGGAGGGAGCCGGGCUCCCGCGCGCUCAGAGCUGGGCUGGUUGCUCUCCCCCAAGGCCGAGGGGGUCUGGGAGGGCGGGAGUCAGAGCCGCAGCCACGGGGGUGUGUUGCUGCAGAAAGUGCCCCGUGCGUACGGAGGUGCCCAGCCUCGGGGCGCCAGGGCAGCGGGAACCCGGGCUCUGCGAGCUGCAGCGCAAAGCCGAACCUCGCAGAGCCAGGCUGAGAGGAAUUAAUUCUUGGGAACAGAGUUGAAGUGUGGCAGGCCCAUGUGGAAGGAGCUCCUAUUCACACAUGGAAGAGUUGUCCUUCCCACAAAGAAGACCUGGAGCCUUCCCCUGAACUCUAUCCUCUGUUGUUCACGAGGGCCAUCUCCAUAUCUUUGAGUUCUACUAAUUCUAAGAAAUGUCUUUCACAUCCACCUUUCCUGUCUUCUUACUUUCCUGGCUUUUUUGAAGUUUUUGUCAUUACUGAAUACUAGGUGUUCUCCAGCUGUUCCUCCAAACCAGAUGUCCUAAAGGAGAAAGCAUCUCAGAAGCACUUGAGAGUUUUUUUUCAAAAUAUAUAAGCUUGUACUAAUGCUGUUAUACUUGAAUUCUUCCCCAUGGACCAAAGAAUGUAUCAUUUGGGAAAAAUAUUUGUCUUAGUCACUUUCUUGUUGCUGGGACACAACACUUGACACCCACAAGUUAAAGGAGGAGAGGUUUAUUGUGGCUUACAGUUUGUGGAGGUCUCAGUCCAUAGUCACCUGGCUUCAAGGCAAGGUGACAUGGCAGAGGGCCAUCGCAGAGGAGAACAGUGGGCUUAUCCACUGAAAUGACAGAUGGAAAAGAUAAUGUAGUCCUUGGCCAGAGCCACCUUGAGAAUCGCUGUGCUAUAUAUACUUGCAAAAAGAAGUGUGAACACAGUUACUUCGUUUGGCUUUGGAGAGAGCUAAGUAAAGACAACAGUCAUAACAGUAACUAUCAACAACAGCGAAAAUACAUGAACAAGCUGGGAUGAAGUGUGUGUCUGGUUAAUACUUCUUAAACUGGGAGAACCAUUAGAAUAACAGAUCUUUAAUGCUGAAAAUUUAUGUCAUGAAAUGUUUUGGGAAAAGAAUUAUGAUCUUAUUGAUUGAAAAAGAUUACAAACCAUCUAAUUCUUUUUAAUGAAAUGUGUAUCCCAGGACUUUAUCAAACAUAUAAUUGGGGAGUUCACAUUCUUAUUUUUAAUCUGCUUUUGUAUUUACCUGCUCAUUUUUCACUGACUUUGGUUCAAUCUAAUCCAAGAAUUCCUUCUACAUGUGCCUGAAAAUGAGUUAUGAAUGAAACGAUUCCAUUUAACUAGGUUAAAACAGAAAACCAAAGAGUUAAUAUAAUGUAGAUUGUAGGCUUUAGUCUAUAAUAGUAUAUCAGUAGUGGUUAUCAGUUGUAACAAAUGCAGCUGGGCAUGGUGGAGCAUGCCUGUCAUCCCAGCCUUCAGGAGGCUGAGGCAGGAGAAUUGCUGACCUUGAACUCACAGCAAACCCUGUUUCAAGAAACAAAAAAUUGUUACAAAUGCAUCUCAUUAAUCAAAUACAAAAUAUACAUUAAGGAAACAGGGAGGACUAUGGGGUUAGGUUGGAAUACUCUGUACUUUCUAAUCUUUCAAUUUAGAGCUUUAUCAUUUAAAGUUUUCAGUUUUAAUAUUCCUUUUUUGCCCAUUAAAAAAUAAGGUAAAUCCAGGUGUGCUGUUUGAAACCAAAAGUUGGUCUCUCUGUGGUAUACAUCUCCCC